rnacentral:lncRNA from 1 species
CCUAAUCUUAUCGCAGACUAAGCCCUGAUCUCGAUCCCAGGCUGAUCUCCAGUCCUGUUCCAGGUUCUGAUCCUGAUCAGAUUGAGCCCGGCAUUCACAGAAAGCAGGGGACCUAUGGAGACCCAUGGAGACGGGACCGAGGGUGGUAAGUGGGAGACAGGAGGAGCCUGGAGUCCAGCUUAGACUGAGAACAGAACCAGACUAACAGCCCGCCAGCCAGAAGACCAGAGGCCUACAACUUCAGUUCACAGAGAGGCCUUCUCCAAAAACACCCAAACGGCUUUCCUCUUGGUGGAAGAACCAAAAUCUGAACCAAGGAUGGUGGGAAAAUGGAGUCCCAGAGAGCAACGGGGGAGCUGUAAUUCACCAGGCUGAGGGAGACACGGUGCCACUCGCCAAGGGCCGGCGUGAGGAGGGAAGGCGCGCAGCGGGCUUGGAGCAAGCAGGCUGCUUUCAAAAGCAACCAGAAGCCCUGGGUCUGCAGGGCCCCUGAGGAGCAGCCCCUGAAGGACUUCUCCAGGUGGAAAUGGGGUGGGGAGAGGGGCAAUUCCUGGCGGAGGGAACAGCGAAGGCUGGAAGCCUGAAGCUGAAGUGCAUCUCAUAAUAGCUCAUGUUCGCCAAUGGCCAGGCACAUUUGCAUUGAACCCUCACCGCCGGCCACGAGGCUGGAACGCGUGGUGCUCCCAUUUUGCAGGAAAGGGAGUGUGGGCUCAGAGACCAGAAGGGGUACUGGAGGCCACACAGCAGG